rnacentral:rRNA from 1 species
CACGUAGGCGGCUCUUUAAGUCAGGGGUGAAAUCCUGGAGCUCAACUCCAGAACUGCCCUUGAUACUGAGGAGCUUGAGUCCGGGAGAGGUGAGUGGAACUGCGAGUGUAGAGGUGAAAUUCGUAGAUAUUCGCAAGAACACCAGUGGCGAAGGCGGCUCACUGGCCCGGUACUGACGCUGAGGUGCGAAAGCGUGGGAGCAAACA